AGCAAAAUAGGCCCUUGUUUGAACCCCGUUUAUUUUCCAAUACAAUAACUUUGCACGUAAAUUGAAAUUUUUUUCUUACCUUUUAACCACCUUCUCCAAAAAGUCUAUUCAAAAACAUUUUCUUUCCCCAUAAUGGGACUCAAACAAGGGCUUGGAGUACUUUGAGAAUAUUAACUCAACGAACAAUUCUUGUUCGAGUUGUGCGCAACUGGUAACUAGAACAUAUUAACAAACCAUUCUUCCUUUUUCUCAUAAUAUUUCAACUAUCAUCUCAAGAAAAUAUCAAAGUUCAAGCUAAAUCACAUGAUAACUACAUAGUAACAUCAUUCAUUGUCCCAAAAUUUAAAACAAAAGAAAACAAGGGAGUGCAGAGUUGGUGAUUUAAACUCAUGAAUCAUAAUGAAAGUCCGACAUUAUUGUAGAUCUAGCAGCGCAAUGAUCAAACCACUUGGUAAUUCUCCGUAGACAGCACUGUUCUCUGAGAAAACUUGGGUGGAGUUCCACCUUUCAAUGGUAUAAUGUUUGAAACCUGCAGACAUUGGCAUUAUUAAAAAAGGAGGUUCCCUCAAACUACUGAAAGCAAUAGAAACCAGUUUGUUAAAAAUAUAUCAUUACAAGAAGUGGGAUUACAGAUAAAGUCUAUUCCAGUUUCCAUCAAGGAUCAGAAGAGAAUCAGUAUGGAUUGUUUGGGGAACGCCAUGUAUUACUCACGACACAGUAGGUAGAAAAUAACUAUAAGCUUGUCUGUCAUAAGACAACGGAAAAUAAAUAUUUGUGGGAAGGGUGGCAAAUGGAUGGGAUUUUUUUUUUUUCUUACGAGUCAAAACCAAAUUUAUCAGAGCUAAUGGUGGGAGAAAUAAAAAGUGGAAUAUAUACCAACUACUACCAGCUAACCAAACCCUCAACAAAAAUAGUUCUCAAAGGAGUUAUGGGCCACUGUGUUCCCAUUACUGGAAUUUUUGUAUAAUAAAAUAGGAGCUUAGUUGAUUUGAUUUUUUUCCCACCUUGUACACCUAUUGGUUAUUGCAUACUUCUUUUCAUAUCAAUAAACAGCUAAAUUUGGUGAAACAAAUGGUAAAAGCACCAAAAUGGCAUGAUGGAUUGAUCUGGGUAGUUUCAAGAUGAUUAUAAUGCAAAAAGGUCAAAGCAACUGCUCAUAUAUAUCAUUUUCCUCCACCUUGUUUUCCCACCCCUA
rnacentral:lncRNA from 1 species